GUCGACAUAGUUUAAUAAAAACACUAGAUUGUGAUUCUAGAAACAGGGGUUAGAACCCCCUUGUUCACC
rnacentral:tRNA from 1 species